UUUAUUUUUAUCAGGGAACACGUUGUACCAGCCCUCCAAAUUAAGGAAAUAACUUUACAAACUCAAGUUUUAUGUUUUCUUUUUUUAGAAAUAGUCAUUGCCUCGAUAUGCGUCUCCUAUGUACUUAUACAAAAGCAUUUUUCUCUCCCAUUUGCCAAUUUUUAAUGAUUUUUCUUCCCUUCCACUUACAACAAAGCCAUCAUUUCAAAUUAAUUAAGUUUUCAUUAAAAUGUAUUAUUGUAAUGUCCCAGGUACCGAAUCGUGAUUUUUGUUUCCGGGAGAACAAGCCUACAAGAAAAACACUCUCCAUUUUGCAAGGAGGCAAUUUCAACCCAGUUCCUCCAGCAUCUGGCACGGGGGCUUUACACACAGUAGGUGCCAAGUAAGUGCUCAAGAGGUGAACAGAGAGCAGUUAUAACCAUUAGCAUCAUUACUAAGAGAGUGCAUUUAUAGAGGGGUCUCAAAAGCACGCAGGUAUUUUACAAAGGCUAUUUCAUCCUGUUCCAACCGUCCUCUCAUGGAGACCUGAAUAUAUGCCCUUUUUUUUAAACGAGAAAACCAAGACCCAGACUGUGAGGUCAUUCCCCGAGGUACCCACUCCAACACACAUCUUCCCGGCUCCAAGUGCACUUGAGGGUGGAGUGGAAGCGGGGGGUGGAGUCUGGGUACCAGGAGCAGUAAGGCAUCGCCUCGGUCAGGGUCUCCUCUCUCGAACUUCCAGACCGUGUUAGUUCUCAGCUGGAGGCACGGCUAUUUUCUUUUCAAGACAAACAAGCUUCAUGCAAAAUCAGAGUCAGUUUCGUGGUUUUAGAAUAUUCAGAAGCUUGGACAGUGGGAACCCUGGAGCGAAAACAACUCCCAACUUUUAUGCAGAAAGAUGAAGAUUGACCUUGAGUUGAGAGCCAUUGAACCUUCCGCUGUUGGCUCCUUUUCAGUAAUAUUGAUGGGGGGCCAGGUACUACGAUGAGAAUGGAGUUGAGCAAAACUGCCACAUAUUUUCAGACACUUGGGGUCACAUGGGGGAAAAAAAUGGACAAGAGCCUGGAUGGCCGAAGGGAAUUACAAAUGUUCUUGACUUGACAUCUUGCAGACGUGGUCGUGUCCCACCUUGGGUGAAAACUCUGAGUCCGAAGAGCAUUUGUGUGUCAAGCAACUCAGCCGCUUGGCCAGUAGGAAGAAGCCAGUCUGGGUUCUUCAGGACAAUUACAUCGAUUCCUAUUCGGUCACAAUCGAGCGUUUUGCUCUCCUUGCUGGGGACCUCUCUUCAUUUCCACCUUGUUCGCCUCUCCGGGCAGUGGGGACACACAUCCCACAUCCCAUCCUGUUUGCGAUGCUGAGCACUUCUGCCAAGAGCCCUGUCUCGGGGACCCUCCAAGCCCCACCAGCAGGACAAAGGGCCCCCUCAACCCAACCAGCCUGGAGGUGAACUCUGUCAGGAGAUGCUAACACCGCCUGCCACGCCGCCCGCCUGCCCCAGCCCUUUGCUUGUGCCACAACCUCCAACCAGAGCCCAGAGCCGCGGGAUGCAGAAGGAGCACGUGGCAGACAGACCAGGCCCUUUGGAUCCACAGCGAUGGGUUCAAAUCCUGCUGGGCUGUUUCAUCUUUAGUUGUCUGGCUCCACUGGUAACCCCCGUAAGACGCCACCUACAGGCUCCAGGUAACCCAGGAAAGGGGCACCCGUGUCAUAGGCACCCUUGAAAGUGUGUGGCAGCCCCCAGCACCCUCCCUCUAGGAUGACAGCUGGCUCACGCCAACAGAACAAAGGCAGAGGUUGUGUAAACGCACACUACCCUGAGUGAACUGGGGUGGGCUCCAACUCUUCCUCAGGAAGGUGGGAUUGAGCCCAAGAAUAAUCUGUGUCUUCCAGGGGCUGGACUUGGACCAUCAGGUCGGGGCCACGGGAGGCCGGGGGGGAGCAGGACUCAGCUCAAAAGAGGAGGAUGAAGGCUGAUGUGCCAACGGAGAGCAGGAAGCCAGCGGGGAGAUUUGGAUGCUCUGACCCUGCUCUGACCUUUCCCCCUUCCCAAGGUCCAGUCCACACCCCCACACACACCGCCCCCUCCUGGCAUCACAGGAGACACUCAAGGAUCCCCACAACCAGCUCCUGUUUCUCCUUCAUGGUGGUCUGAGUUUGCAGCUGUUGUUUGCAAGCAAAUGGCUUUAAUUAAUGCCAUAAAGAAAGCGGGGGGUGGGGGGAGGCUCUCAUAUUAUGACUGGGGCUCAACAAAUAUCACCUCCUUUCUCCCCAGAAUCUGCUAGAAUCAGACCCCCUCAGCAAGGGACCUACCAGCCCUAAAACAGCCCUAUCCACCCUCCACUGGGAGCAAGGCUGCAGGGGUGGGGCCCAGACCCCACAGGGUGCCGACUCAGCUUCUGGAGAAACCAGACUCUCAUCAGAGGAGGCUCCAGGGCCCUGGACAUGUGUGUAAAUUACCUCGAGGGGUGAGCAGGGGAGGCAAGAGGGGCAGCUGGCCAUUGGCCCAAUGGCCACCAUCGUGAGCCACAGCUCACCUGGCCAAGCGCUCCCACCUGCUGCAUGGACAUCCCGCAGCACCAGCCUGGCCUCCUCUGUGUCCUGGGUGUAGCCUGUCUCCAGGCUCCAGCCUAUGUUUGCCCGCUGCACCCAGUGGCCAGGUCAGGGUAACAGGACACCACCGCCAAGGUCAGAGCCCGGGACCCUGGCCCCUCCCUAGACAGGGCUGAUUGCCAAGACACCAGCCACCCUUUGAAGCAAUGGCAUCUUGGCUAGGAUGAAACCCACAGAAUUUAUGCUCCUCGAUUCCUGAUGGCAUUAUUUAAAUUGCCUCUGAUU
ensembl:lncRNA